rnacentral:rRNA from 1 species
UACGAAGGGGGCUAGCGUUGCUCGGAAUCACUGGGCGUAAAGGGCGCGUAGGCGGCCCCGCCCGUCGGGCGUGAAAUCCCCGGGCUCAACCCGGGGCGGUCGCCCGGGACGGCGGGGCUGGAGGACGGGAGAGGGCCGCGGAAUUCCCAGUGUAGAGGUGAAAUUCGUAGAUAUUGGGAAGAACACCGGUGGCGAAGGCGGCGGCCUGGCCCGGACCUGACGCUGAGGCGCGACAGCGUGGGGAGCAAACAGG